rnacentral:rRNA from 1 species
UUACGGGAGGCAGCAGUAGGGAAUUUUGCACAAUGGACGCAAGUCUGAUGCAGCAACACUGCGUGAAGGAUGAAGGUUUUCGGAUCGUAAACUUCUUUUAUCAGGGAAUAAUCUUGAAGGUACCUGAUGAAUAAGCACCGGCUAACUACGUGCCAGCAGCCGCGGUAAUACGUAGGGUGCAAACAUUAUCCGGAUUUAUUGGGCGUAAAGAGCUCGUAGGUGGUUUGAAAAGUCGAGUAUGAAAGACCCGGGCCCAACUCGGGGAACGUACUCGAAACUUUCUGACUAGAGGUAUGCAGGGGAAGAUGGAACACACGGUGUAGCAGUGAAAUGCGUAGAUAUCGUGUGGAACGCCAAUGGUGAAGACAGUCUUCUGGGCAUUACCUGACACUGAGGAGCGAAAGCGUGGGGAGCGAACGGGAUUAGAUACCCCUGUAGUCCA